AGGGCAGUGGCUCAGUGGUAGAGCUUCCCGCUUGGUACGCGGGAAGACCUGGGUUUGAUUUCCGGCUGCUUCC
rnacentral:tRNA from 1 species